rnacentral:ncRNA from 1 species
UUGCCAUAACCGCCGGGUUACGUCUUAUCCUCAUUCCGUUAGGCCAUUGAUGGAAUGAAGGACAAGGACUGACCACA